CGGAGUUACUGGGCGUAAAGGGCGCGUAGGUGGUUGUUUAAGUGAGAUGUGAAAUCCCUGGGCUUAACCUAGGAACUGCAUCUUAUACUGGGCAACUGGAGUACUGUAGAGGGUAGUGGAAUUUCCGGUGUAGCGGUGAAAUGCGUAGAGAUCGGAAGGAACACCAGUGGCGAAGGCGGCUACCUGGACAGAUACUGACACUGAGGCGCGAAAGCGUGGGGAGCAAACAGG
rnacentral:rRNA from 1 species